AGAAAGAAGUAAAGAAGAAAAAGGAAGGAAGGAAGGGAAGGAGGAAGAGAGAAAACCAUGUCCAUAGAGGCCAGGUCUACACUAUAUGGGAAUAGAAACAUUAUUAUAAACCAAAGUUUGUAAACAGGAUAUGAAUUUUUAAAUUAGAGGCAAGAAUGUGCUGGUAAAUAUUUAACAACUAGGUCUUUAAAAAACACUAAUUACACUUUUAAAUUUAAUCUGAAUUAGUAACAUUUUCUGUAUCACUUUCUUAAGUAUAGCCUAUUAACAAAACAAUAUAUUAAACCCUGAUUUGUACUAUUUGCUUAUUUCUGAGUUGUUAAAUGCUUGCACUGAAAUUUUAAACAAUUUUGUCAAGUCAGCCUUAGUGACACUUCUAGAUUAGAGCAAAUGUAAAUUUUGGGACUAGAAGCAAUGAAUGAUACUAAAAUUAACAACAUAAUUUAAGGGUGUGUCUGAAUAGACAUGAUCAAAAGUCAGACUUCCAGAGUUUGAUAAGAAUUUCUUCACUGUGUGUAGAGGGUCACAGUCAGUAGAGGAACUCUGGGUGAGGUUUAAAAUGCUUUAGCCCAGAGGGAACCUGCUGACAAUGUCUAGUUUGGCUCCCCAUCUCCCUUAAGGGCUCUCAACCUUCCUGAGACGUCAGGAGGCAGUGACAACCUGUGUAAAGAUUGAGGCAGAAUGAUACCAGGUGGAAAUGAUACUAGGUAGCAAACUGCAUAGCAAGUUGUUUAUAUGGUCCCACAUGAGCAGUGCUGUUUUUGUUACAUUAUAUAAAGGGGAUAGUCCUUGAAAUAAACAGACUCCAUUUUUCCACCAUCCUCAGGAGUCCUGUCUCAUCACUUCUCCACUAGGAAGGCAUAUUUUAAUCACUCUGGUGGGGGGACUCUAGAAAGCAACAGUACAUUUUGCCACCCCAACUUGGGGGCUCUGGAAAGCAGGACACAACAUCUGGUGCCCAAACAUGGGGCUUUAGAUGAAGUCCUAUACAUAUCAGCUCGAUUGACACAAUUAACCUUUACUCUUGAAAAGUCAGGGAGAGUGACCACCCUUUGUUCUAAAACAAAAGAAAACGGGAGAUGUUAUGGGCCAGAACUCUUGAAACAAAGGAUUCUUACAAGGUGCUAAGUCAGUGGAAUUGAUAGAUACAAUGGUUAUCUAGUUUAGCAUGGUUCAGUAUGAUUGAUUUAAUCUUACAACAAAUAAUGAUUUUCUAGUGAUAUAAAGAUUGGUUUAUACUCAGUGUAGAGCAUAUAAACUAGGAGCCUUAGCCAGGAUUCAUUUGGAGAGAUUCAGAGGGCAGAAAAGACAGCUAGGAGCUCAAGCUCUCAGAACCAAGGAGAGAGAGAUAGGCCUCUAAGAAAGCUAAGUGGGACUCAGGAAAGGAGACAAGACUUUGAAAGAGAUAAAGGAUUUGGACAAGGAUUUGGACUUUAACCCCUGGCUACUUGUGUGGUGAUUACUCUGACUGAAAGGAAGGCUGCUCCCAGAGACCUCAAGAAAACCGAACCAAGGAGAACAGUACAUUUUGAUGCCUGAAUGUGGGACCAAGAACCUACAUCUGUGAAAUUAGGAUGAAGAAGGAAUCAGAUGGGGCCAAUGAGCUGUAUCUGUUUUGUCCAUCAGAGAGAGAUGGAAAAAGAGAAGACCAUUGAAACAAAGGAGAAGACUCAAGAAACACUGGGUGGUUUUGCUGACUGUGCCUACCACUGAAGGAGCCUGGCAGUUAACCCUUUGUGUACUCAUGAACAUCAAAAAUAAUUCUCAAUAAGAUUGAUGCAGGACUUCAAAACCUGCAGGAAUUGUUGGAUUCCCUGAGACAUGAAGUGAUAGACAGUAGAUUGUUUUUGACUAUCUCUUCAUUACUGAAGGAGGUAUAUGUGUGGCUGUGAAUUGAUAGUUAUUUUUUAUUUUUAUUUUUUUACUCCUUUCUUCUGGAACUCAUGGAAAUCUUCUAUAGUAUUUUGGUUAUUCAUCUUGUUUGUUAUGCUACUAUUUGCUUGUAUGAUAUUAUAACUUGCCUGUGUGAUUCCUUCCAUGGUAACAGAUUCAACCACUGGUAUAUACCUGCUUCAAUCAAAACAAAAGAAAUGAUGAGAUGUAGAGAGUCACAGUCAGUGGGGGAACUCUGGGUGAAGUUUAAGACCCUUCAGCUCAGAGGGAACCUGCUAACAAUGUCUGGUGCAGCUCCCCAUUUCCCCUAAGAGCUCUCAGCCUUCCUGAAAAAUCAGGGGGUGGUGACAACCUGUGUUGAGAUUGAGGCAGACUGAUACCAGGUGGAAGAGAUACCAGGUGGCAAACUGCGUAGCAAGUUUUUUAUGUGGUCUCACAUGAGCAGUGUUGAUUUUGUUACAUUAUAUAAAAGGGAUAAUUCUUGAAAUAAAUGGAUUCCAUUUUCCCACCAUC